GACGAACGCUGGCGGCGUGCCUAACACAUGCAAGUCGAGCGAAUGAAGUUCCUUCGGGAAUGGAUUUAGCGGCGGACGGGUGAGUAACACGUGGGCAACCUGCCUCAUAGAGGGGAAUAGCCUUCCGAAAGGGAGAUUAAUACCGCAUAAGAUUGUAGUACCGCAUGAUACAGCAAUUAAAGGAGCAAUCCGCUAUGAGAUGGGCCCGCGGCGCAUUAGCUAGUUGGCGAGGUAACGGCUCACCAAGGCGACGAUGCGUAGCCGACCUGAGAGGGUGAUCGGCAACAUUGGGACUGAGACACGGCCCAGACUCCUACGGGAGGCAGCAGUGGGGAAUAUUGCACAAUGGGGGAAACCCUGAUGCGGCAACGCCGCGUGAGUGAUGACGGCCUUCGGGUUGUAAAGCUCUGUCUUCAGGGACGAUAAUGACGGUACCUGAGGAGGAAGCCACGGCUAACUACGUGCCAGCAGCCGCCGUAA
rnacentral:rRNA from 1 species